GCCUGUAUGAAGUCCUGCCCGCCCCCGUGACCCCCGCAGGCCGCCAGGAACAGCCAGGGACGGUACAGGUCAUCGAGAACAGCCUGUAUGAAGUCCUGCCCGCCCCCGUGACCCCCGCAGGCCGCCAGGAACAGCCAGGGACGGUGCAGGUCAUCGAGAACAGCCUGUAUGAAGUCCUGCCCGCCCCCGUGACCCCCGCAGGCCGCCAGGAACAGCCAGGGACGGUGCAGGUCAUCGAGAACAGACUGUAUGAACCCCUGCUGCCCCCGUGACCCCCGCCGCCACCCAGAAACCAUAGCUCCAGAGUCCACCUUGUGUCUCGAGCGCCAGGUUCGAUUCCCGGCCGGGUUGUUAGAAAAAAAUGAUUCCCGAGUAGAUUAGUUUCCUAUGUGCUUGGAGGAGCGGUGAUCUCCCUCCUUGGCCUGUGUUUCUCCACGGCGGGGCAGGAAAUGGAGGGGUACGUGGCUCGCUCCAUCAUCUGUAUAGCUGUCUCCUCAUCACGUCGCAGGAAUACCUCGCCGAUUACUUCUCUGUGUCUGUAAUUCCUGCCAAGUGUCCUUAUUUCUGGCCGGAUUGUAGGCUGGGCGGCGAGACAGGACCUGGGCAGAUUAGAAGGUGAAUUCACGCCUUCAGUUAUGUUUGUUUUUUAGUCUAAUUGUGGUUCACGUGUGGUUAGUUUAUAUUUAUCUUCCCACAGUGAUAUCCCUACAUAUGGUUUUGAUGUAUGAAUUCGUAUGUUUACAUAUUAUCAUCAAUCUGCAGUUAGAAAUGAAAAGCCCUAUAUUAUAUGUAACUGAUUUAUUACUUUUAGUCUAGUAAUAGUAGCAACAACAACAACAGCAGCAGCAGUAACAGUGGUAGUAGUAGUAGUAUAAGUAGUAAUAAUAGUAGUAGUAAUAGAAGUAGGCUAGUAGUAGUAAUAGUAGUAGUAGUUGAAGUAGUAGUAGUAGUAAUAGUAGAAGUAGUAGUAUUGGUAGAGUAGUAAUGGUAAUAGUAUUAGAAGUAGUAGUAGUAAGAGAAGUUGUUGUUGUUGUUGUUGGUAUUGUUAAUGAUUAUGAUGUCUUUGUGGUAACCAUGAUUCAUCGCCCUUUGUGUCGCAGUGGCCGGCCGGAUACAUAAGUUCAUAGUUGUCAGUGGUUCUUAGGGCCGCCUUCAGUCACUUUGUUUGUUUUGAUCGUUACCAAUGGCGGCGAUCGACGCUAUAGUUUUCCACGUGAAACUGGCCUAUGGGGUAGUGGCGGCUGCAGAGGAAGCGAGAGGUGUUGAGAGUGUAAGGCAAGGUGCAGGGCUAGGCUAACCCCUCAGUCGCCACUACCCAUCGGACCCAGUUUUACGUGGAAAUACUAUAGCAGCGAUAACAACCAUUAGUAACGAUCAAAACAAACAAAACGACUGUGAAAGUGGCCCCUAGACGCUACAUUUGAGCUUGUGUAAAAAAUAAAAGCAAGAAGUGCUCAGCGGCAAGGAUGGUGCUGCCUACAACGGUUGAAGGAAAUAUACUAGGGGUCGUAUGAUAAGACAUUUCAUCGUCCAAGAACACCUAUUUGACAAGGCUUUCGUAGGAGUUGUGGGCAUUUCCAGGAGUAGCUUUUGACCCUGGUGGUAGCGUGACCCUUCUUCUGCACCAUGAACCUGAAGAAACACUCAUAAGAAUCUGACUGACCCCUUCUUUGACCUCUAGAAAUUGGUGAUGUGAGAAGCGAACUUGUCUUGUAAUACCGACCUAUAUUCAUGAUUCCUACCAUUGUAUCUUUUUAGUUUCAUGGUUAUCUACACAUGUAUUACUAGUUGUAUAAUCACAUUCUGUACUGCCUGGGGUUGGGAUGGCAUGUUCCUCCCUUCUCCCUUGUUUACCUUCAACAAUAAAUUAUCAAUGAA